rnacentral:lncRNA from 1 species
GCCCCCUCUAUCUCUCUCAAAGUUUAGCCUAAUACAAGGUCUAUAUUUAUAGUAAAAGUAUAACGCAUAAAUUUGGAACAAAUACCACAUCGAAGAUACGUUUUUUUUUUUCCUUCAGUUAAAGAAUAUUUGCAUCAAAAAUAUAAUAUUCCCUUUCAAAAUAUAUUUGCAUCAAAUCGUUCUUCAUACGAUACAAAAAUAUAUUUAUUGUCCAUAAAUAUAUUUUCAGCACAAAAUAUAUUUGAAACAAAUCUUAUAUAUUUUUAGCAACAAUAUUCCCCAUCCAUCAAAUUUGGAGUCAUACUACAACAUUCUCCACCUUGACUCUAAAUUAGUGAUGAUGCCAAUUUAACAUAACCACCAUGCUGCUCUUUCCCUUGUUCCCACUACACCAAGUAGCUCCACAAGUUUACACCUCUUAACCUCUUCAGCCCUCGGAAUGUCUUCCGCCUUCUCGAAGGUCCUUGCAGUCCAACUACACUAGGAGUUUUAGGUAGUCCUACAAGCAUUCACCAUAACAUCUUCAACGCAGGACAUCUCCCGCUUCCUUGAAGAUCACCUUGCAUCCAAUCACCCUUGGCCUUCUUUUAGGGUAAUCCCGCAAGCCGUGCUAUACAUUCUUCAACUUCAUGAAGAAAUCCAUUGCUCACCAUAGAGCAUAGCACCCAAGGUCCUCCAUAGUCGAAACAUUACCGGUGUGUUCAACUCCACCUCGCGCUGAGCGUACUCUACCUCAACUAGCAAAUGCGUACAUCCCACUAUGUCUUCAACCUUGAAACUCCACCUCAACAGGUAGAUCAUGAGUAUUCUUACCACCGCCUCUCUAGGCUGAUGUUGAGUGUUUAACGUCUCUCCAGACGACCACCGCUCCACUAGGAAUCAAUCCCAAGGUGAGACACAUCACCUUCUUCAUCCUCCAAACAACACCACACCAUCAGAGCACCUGCAUCCUCAUAACCCUCUGAGACAAUUUGUGCGGAGUUACCAUUAAUCUCCGGACAAUCCUUCUUGAACUGAUCCAUCUUGUGACAGUUAAAGCAUUCAGGCUUUGACUUGUUACCACUCUUUCUCCGGUUACCUCUACCUCCACCAUUCCCUCUUGAGACACUUAGGCCUUCACCGUGUUCUUGAAUUCUCAAGUCUUUGGACUUGGUCAACUCCUUGGUUCUCAAAGCCGCUUGAACUUCUUCCAAGGUAACAGUGCCUUCUUUCCCAUAGAGCAUGGUAUCUUUGAACGAUUCAAAAGAUUUCGGUAGAGCACACAACAAGAGUAUAGCUUUAUCCUCAUCCUCAAGUUGCACCUCAAUAUUAUCCAAGUCAUCAAGGAUUUUGUUGAACUCCGUAAGUUGCUCCAUGAUGGUCUUUGACUCCACCAUCCUGAAUGAGUAGAGUUGUUGCUUUAGGAAUUGCCAAUGAGUCAAAGACUUUGUCAUAUACAAAGAUUCCAACUUUGCCCACAUCGAUGCCGCGAUUCAUUCCUUUGCUACUUCUCUCAAAAAUUUAUCCCCAAGGCACAAGACAAUGGCACUCCUGGCCUUGUCCACCAUCUCGGUCUUCUCCGCUCGUGACAUGGUGACCGGUAACGAACCUUCACCCUUCAAAGCUUUCUCACACUUUUGUUGUAUUAACACCGCUUCCAUCUUUACCUUCCAUAACCCAAAAUCGUUAUCUCCGGUAAACUUCUCAAUAUCCCACUUUGAACCCAUGGUACUUAAUUAUCCUUUGACCCUUGCCCCACGGUGGGCGCCAAUUGUUGUGAAUUCGUUGAGAAAAAUCACAUCAAUAACAAACUUGAUGUGUGGAACAAGGGAUAAUCAGGCAACCAAAAUCAAAGUGUAUGGAACAAUUAUAAACACAAGCCAAAAGUAGAAAACAACAGCGAGAGAAAAGGAAGAGAGAACACAAAAGAAUUUGUUGACCUAGUUCGGUCCAAAUUGACCUAGUCUGGGGGAGAGAUCAGCCCUCCGAUCCACUAUAUGAUGAGUAACGUUACAAAGAGAAAUCAAUGGGUUACAAGAAUAAGUCGCCCGCCUAAUUCUACCCAAAGUCUCAGCCUCUUCCCGUAACUAAGAGACUCAAUCGUAAUAGUAUUUCCCAAGGUGAAUCAACCCACAAACCCUAGUGUUUGUUCCUAAGAGACAAACUCUAUACAAACCCUAGUUUUAUUGUUGCCUUUCUAAGCCCUUGUUUCAGCCCCCUCUAUCUCUCUCAAAGUUUAGCCUAAUACAAGGUCUAUAUUUAUAGUAAAAGUAUAACUCAUAAAUUUGGAACAAAUACCACACUGAAGAUACGUUCUUUUUUUUUUCCUUCAGUGAAAGAAUAUUUGCAUCAAAAAUAUAAUAUUCCCUUUCAAAAUAUAUUUGCAUCAAAUCGUUCUUCAUACGAUACAAA